rnacentral:rRNA from 1 species
AACGAACGCUGGCGGCAGGCUUAACACAUGCAAGUCGAACGCCCCGCAAGGGGAGUGGCAGACGGGUGAGUAACGCGUGGGAACGUGCCCUUCGCUUCGGCAUAGCUCCGGGAAACUGGGAGUAAUACCGGAUACGCCGUAUUGGGAAAGAUUUAUCGGCGAAGGAUCGGCCCGCGUUAGAUUAGCUAGUUGGCGGUGUAAUGGACCACCAAGGCUACGAUCUAUAGCUGGUCUGAGAGGAUGAUCAGCCCCACUGGGACUGAGACACGGCCCAGACUCCUACGGGAGGCAGCAGUGGGGAAUCUUGGACAAUGGGCGCAAGCCUGAUCCAGCCAUGCCGCGUGAGUGAAGAAGGCCUUAGGGUUGUAAAACUCUUUCGCCGGAGAAGAUAAUGACGGUAUCCGGAGAAGAAGCCCCGGCUAACUUCGUGCCAGCAGCCGCCGUAACAC